CGCGGUAAUUCCAGCUCCAAUAGCGUAUAUUAAAGUUGUUGCGGUUAAAAAGCUCGUAGUUGGAUCUGUGUCUCGCACCGUCGGUUCACCGCCUGUCGGUGUUUAACUGGCGUGUAUGCGGGACGUCCUGCCGGCGGCGGCACGGCGCUCCGUUAGUUAUAGGGGCGUCUUCGGGCGCUUCGAAGGCUUUCGGUGUCGCUGGCCGCCUUAUAUCCUGUCGCGGUGCUCUUCACUGAGUGUCGAGGCGGGCCGGCACGUUUACUUUGAACAAAUUAGAGUGCUUAAAGCAGGCCAGUGCUGCCUGCACCUUCUGUGCAUGGAAUAAUGGAAUAGGACCUCAGUUCUAUUUUGUUGGUUUUCGGAAUCUGAGGUAAUGAUCAAUGGGAACAGGCGGGGGCAUUCGUAUUGCGACGUUAGAGGUGAAAUUCUUGGAUCGUCGCAAGACGGACCUAAGCGAAAGCAUUUGCCAAGUAUGUUUCCGUCGAUCAAGAACGAAAGUUAGAGGUUCGAAGGCGAUCAGAUACCGCCCUAGUUCUAACCAUAAACUAUGCCUGCCAGCGAUCCGCCGAAGUUCCUCCGAUGACUCGGCGGGCAGCUUCCGGGAAACCAGAGCUUUUGGGUUCCGGGGGAAGUAUGGUUGCAAAGCUGAAACUUAAAGGAAUUGACGGAAGGGCACCACCAGGAGUGGAGCCUGCGGCUUAAUUUGACUCAACACGGGAAAACUCACCAGGCCCGGACACCGGAAGGAUUGACAGAUUGAGAGCUCUUUCUUGAUUCGGUGGGUGGUGGUGCAUGGCCGUUCUUAGUUGGUGGAGAACGAUUUGUCUGGUUAAUUCCGAUAACGAACGAGACUCUAGCCUACUAAAUAGUCGUACCCGGUAUCCAAUCGUGCUACCGGCGAUAAAAUUUCUUCUUAGAGGGACAGCGGCUUCUAGCCGCACGAGACUGAGCAAUAACAGGUCUGUGAUGCCCUUAGAUGUCCUGGGCCGCACGCGCGCUACACUGAAGAAAUCAGCGUGUCUUCCCUGUCCGAAAGGACCGGGUAACCCGCUGAACCUUCUUUGUGCUAGGGAUUGGGGAUUGGAAUUGUUCCCCAUGAACGAGGAAUUCCCAGUAAGCGCGAGUCAUAAGCUCGCGUUGAUACCGCCCUGCCCUUUGUACACACCG
rnacentral:rRNA from 1 species